rnacentral:rRNA from 1 species
GUGGGGAAUUUUGGACAAUGGGCGCAAGCCUGAUCCAGCAAUGCCGCGUGCAGGAAGAAGGCCUUCGGGUUGUAAACUGCUUUUGUACGGAACGAAACGGUCCUGGUUAAUACCUGGGGCUAAUGACGGUACCGUAAGAAUAAGCACCGGCUAACUACGUGCCAGCAGCCGCGGUAAUACGUAGGGUGCGAGCGUUAAUCGGAAUUACUGGGCGUAAAGCGUGCGCAGGCGGUGCGGGAAGACAGGCGUGAAAUCCCCGGGCUCAACCUGGGAAUUGCGCUUGUGACUGCAGUGCUGGAGUACGGCAGAGGGUGAUGGAAUUCCGCGUGUAGCAGUGAAAUGCGUAGAUAUGCGGAGGAACACCGAUGGCGAAGGCAGUCCCCUGGGCCUGUACUGACGCUCAUGCACGAAAGCGUGGGGAGCAAACAGGAUUAGAUACCCGUGUAGUCC